GAAACAACAGAUUUGCAUAUUACAGGCAAAAUUAAUAAUACAAACAUUGCCAAAGUAAUGUCUCCCUCACAAUGUAAAGCAAACUUCAUCUUUAUAGAAGCAUAACAUAAUCUAGCUCUUGGAUCUCAUUUGCAGGUCCACCAAAUGUAGAGGUCUAUGCCUAACCGUGACUGGUCGUUCUAAAAUAAGUAAUUUAAAUAUGAAUAAUUUUCCUGGGUAACAUUCUCAUGCUGCUAUUACGAUACCAGAGCAUCGUGACUAUUUUAAAUGUAAACGUUUAAUUUUGAGGAGGUCAGAGUUCACUCACAACGGAAGUUACAAAUCUCCCCGCAAAAUGCCUGCUUCGGGUGUGUUUCCGGGUCAGGAAGAGCGCAGAAGAAUGCCAAUAGAUUCCGAAACAGUUCACAAACGAACCACACGAGGACGUCCUCGUUCCAACAGGGCCAGAUGGACGGCGAACGCUUGGAACGUUUCGAGAUGGACAAAAAGAAGAAGCAAGGAGACGAGAGAGCCGAGCGCGUCGCCGCUUACUGACGUGCACGUCGAAGACGAAUUAAAACUUCUCCACCUCCACAAUUUGCUGCUUGGAGCACCCCAUAAUAGUCGUGGUGCCAAUGAAAUGAGAUGAACGCCAACCUCAGACGUUAAUUAUGGAGGUUUUAAUUGCUCCGAUGGCCCCGACUUCAUGAAAUUGGGGCGUGAUUUGCUUCAACGGCAAAGCUGUUGGAUUCCAGCUCGAGUAAAAAGCACUUGAAAGUGAUUUCUUGGCCAGUGCUUAGGUUCGAAACCCAGCGUGGCAGCGGCCCUCCGGACCGGCCCGCUCGCUCGGCGCCUCCUGCACCGGCGGGCGGCUCCCCACCCCGGAGCGUGUUCCCGUGUCGCCCCGCACAGACAGCUGGGACUGGGCACCGGUUAGAAUUCGGCCGUGUUGCAGGAGGACGGCCCGCCCCUCCGGUGGGGGUGUGGGGGGGGGUCGGAUGCUGGAACGUGCGGGGCUCCCGGAAGCCCGCCGACCGAGCCGAGAGGAGAGCUGGCCGAAUUCAUCCUUUCUGCGCAGU